rnacentral:rRNA from 1 species
CCUACGGGAGGCAGCAGUGAGGAAUAUUGGUCAAUGGCCGGAAGGCUGAACCAGCCAUGCCGCGUGAAGGUCAGUGCCCUAUGGGCGUUAAACUUCUUUUGUGCGGGAGCAAUAAUGGUCACGUGUGGCCAGACGAGAGUACCGUACGAAUAAGCAUCGGCUAACUCCGUGCCAGCAGCCGCGGUAAUACUGGGGAUGCAAGCGUUUUCCGGAUUUAUUGGGUUUAAAGGGUGCGUAGGCUGUGAGGUAAGUCAGCGGUGAAAUGCCCCCGCUCAACGGGGUGAAGUGCCAUUGAUACUGCCUGGCUGGAGUGCGGAUGACGUAGGAGGAAUGUGUGGUGUAGCGGUGAAAUGCAUAGAUAUCACACAGAACACCGAUUGCGAAGGCAUCUCACGAAUCCGCGAUUGACGCUGAUGCACGAAAGCGUGGGUAUCAAACAGGAUUAGAUACCCUGGUAGUC